UACGGAGGGUGCAAGCGUUGUUCGGAAUUACUGGGCGUAAAGCGCGCGUAGGCGGUUUGUUAAGUCAGAUGUGAAAGCCCAUGGCUCAACCAUGGACGUGCAUUUGAAACUGGCAGACUUGAGUAUUGGAGGGGUGGUGGAUUCCGGCGUACGCGGUGAAUGCGUAGAGAUCGGGAGGAACGAUCAGUGGCGAAGGCGGCGACCUGGCCUAAAACGUGAACGCUGAGGCACGAAAGCGUGGGGAGCGAAAC
rnacentral:rRNA from 1 species